UACGUAGGGUCCGAGCGUUGUCCGGAGUUACUGGGCGUAAAGCGCGCGCAGGCGGCGGUGUAAGCAUGGCGUGAAAGCCCCAGGCUCAACCUGGGAGGGUCGUCGUGGACUGCACCGCUUGAGGGCGGUAGGGGCUGGUGGAAUGCCUGGUGUAGUGGUGAAAUGCGUAGAGAUCAGGCGGAACACCCGUGGCGAAGGCGGCCAGCUGGGCCGUCCCUGACGCUGAGGCGCGAAGGCGUGGGGAGCGAACAGG
rnacentral:rRNA from 1 species